rnacentral:tRNA from 1 species
GUCAGGAUGGCCGAGUGGUCUAAGGCGCCAGACUCAAGAACCGAGGUUCUUCGCCGACAUGAGGUGUUGAGUAUUCUGGUCUCCGAAUGGAGGCGUGGGUUCGAAUCCGACUUCUGACA